UACGUAGGUGGCAAGCGUUAUCCGGAAUUAUUGGGCGUAAAGCGCGCGUAGGCGGUCGCGUAGGUCUGCUGUGAAAGCGCACGGCUUAACCGUGCAGGGUCAGUGGAAACGACGCGACUUGAGGCUGGGAGGGGCUGGUGGAAUUCCCCGUGUAGCGGUGAAAUGCGUAGAUACGGGGGAGAACACUCGUGGCGAAGGCGGCCAGCUGGACCAGUCCUGACGCUAAGGCGCGACAGCGUGGGGAGCAAACAGG
rnacentral:misc_RNA from 1 species